UGUAAAUAAGCGCAGAACGGGCAUCUUUUUGGGCUGUAGGACUGAAGGGGAUACCAGGGAUUUUAGCCUGACUCGUUCCUGCCUUUGGUAAAGAUGAUGCUAGUAGUGCAUGCUCUGAGUGGUGCUUGUGAGGUCUGAAAGCUAAGCGCCUAGCAUGUUUCUUAAUUGCUGUUUUCCUCUCUUCCCCUUCAUUUCUCCCCUGUUCAGGUGAUGCCCACAGCCCCCAACUUCUUACUUCUGUGCUACAAGACCCUAAGCUGCUGGUUGCCCAUCGCAGGGGGGCAACUGCUGCUACCACCAUUCAAGACACAAUACCUCAACUUCCACUUUCAAUUCAGUGGCACUGGACACUGGUACCAUCCACCGCUGGCAUUACCAGCACUGUUGCUUCUGGAAACCAGGUCAAGCGGACAUCUUAAACCCUAGAUCAGCACUCCUUCCAAAGACAUCAACCACACUGAUGCCUGAAAUGAGGAGUUCCCAAAUCUGAGAAUGAUUCGGAGAGAAGUCUAUGCAAAAACCACCGCACAUUCUAUAUGCUGUCAGUUUCCAGCUGUCAGAGGAUGUGCGUCACCAAAAUGAGGGAAUAAGCUGAGAGCAAGACAUGGGAUCCAGAAAACCUGAGAGCCAAGUGGAAGGAUAGAGAAGGCAGGCCCAGAUGAUGAGAAGAAGAGGUGGUGCAGAAGAGCCCAGGAAACACCCAGAUCAGUUUUGUUGUGAUUUUUUUUUUUUCCACUUGCAUAAACUAAGGCCGGAAUCCUCUGGUGACCCGUCAGGCCUGACCACAGGCGAUUACAAAGAUUUUCUCAGGCCAGCCCCUUGGAGAAGAGUCACACCACAGUGAAUUGGUGUGAGGUGUGGAGGUGUGAGUGAGUCUAAGACUCAGCCCUAUGGGGUAGAACCCAGAUGGUUUCUCUUCUUUUAAAUUUCCAAGAGGUUUUCAAUGCCUGGCCUUCUAUGGUAUCUUUAUCUCCCUGUGGAGUUGGGUCCCUACAAAUCCUCAGACAAAGGAGUGUGUCUGGUCAAUGGGAAGGGGGCACAUCCUUGUUCUUUACCUUUCCUCUUGGGCCCUUGGCAUCUGCAUCCAGCGGGGAUGGACUACAGCACGUCAGGGCCCCUUGAUGCAUCUAGAAAGGUUACUCAUGAACAGUGUUCCUCUCCCAAACUGCCAUAUUUGAUCACCUGAGCUCAACAGUUCAGCACUCAGUCAAAUCCUCCCCCCCAACAAGACCUUUUACUUGCCUAUUUGUUUUGUUUUCAGGUAUAGUUUUGACUUACUGCUUCCAAAUAGAUGAAAAGUUCCCAGAGACCAGAAACCCCUCAUUUCCUGGGCCCAUAUGCUCAGCACAAUGGUGGAGGAGCAGUCAAUGAAGAUCUCCUAAAGGAUAAUGAUGUAGGGAUUUUCUCUGGGGUAGAAGAGAUUUGACACUGACCUUGGCUGUGUUCACAGCCAUGUCCCAGCACCUAGAACAGUGCCUGGCAUGUAGUAAGUGCUCAAAAAAUAAUUCACUGGGUAGAUGAGUGAAUGCACCAGAAAGAGAGGCUGGGAUUGUAUUUAGAGGCUAGAAAUACAGAAGCAUUUGGGGGCCUCUACGAAAAGUUGUUGGUAACCCCAAUAAGUGACUUGAGCAAAGAACAGGAAGAAGCAGCAAGUUCCCAAUAUUUUACACUAAGAUUCCCAGGGCAGAGGUGAAUAGUGAAACCUCACAAGACUGUCUAGCUAAGGGUUUAAAGCCUGACCAGUUUGCAUGAGCAACUAUUUCCUGUCUGAGAACUCUCUCCCUACAGAAGCGAGAGCAGAGGUAGGCAUGGCAUAGUGGGUGGACAGGACUUUGGCUUUUUUUUUAAGAUUUAUUUAUGUAUGCAUACAAGAACUGGGGUACAGACCAGACAUGGGGGUGUGUGAGAGGAUUUACCAGAAACAGAGUGGGGAACAGAACAGUUGGAUUGACUGAAAUACACUGUUGAGGGGAGCAGCAGGCGAGGCAGGAGAGGUCUGCUGUGCCAUGUGGGUCUCCUCCCUGGCUGGGGAUCGAAUUCAUGCUGCAGUGGCUGCUGAUAGCUUCCUAGUGCUGUGUCUAUACCCCUUGUGCCACCAGGGAGGCCCUGGUGGACAGGACUUUGAUAACAGUUUUAUAAAAGAAAAAUUGGAAACAAGGUCAAUGUUUAAUAAUAUGGGACUGGUCAUAGGAAAAUGUCUAUUAUAUGUUUGUUGCUUCA